GAUGGGGGAAUGGUUAAUAGGCCUAGCCUAUGAUUUGACUCCACCCAAUCAAAGUAGGUCUGGAUCAGAGCCAGAAAGACAUGAGUCUAACGUGGCUGUCAAGACAAAUGCAUUACUUUUGUGGAACGGGUUUGAGUGAGUACAACCACUACAACGUCUUCCUGGAAUCAACAAAAAUCAAACCAAAUCAACAUAGGCUCAGGACGAUGUAACAACAGGAAAGGAGACUAUACCUUAUUCAUUUAAAGGGAAUGAAUCAUGGCUGAAUCAGUAACAAUACCAGAGGAUGCAAGUCCUUACCCGAUCUCAUCUGACAGACCUCAUCUCAUCAUAAGGCCCUGAUGAGUGACCAGACAAUUCACAGUAAAGAACGAGAUGCAGACGCAGGGUCUGCAGUUGAUGUUGAAAGGUUUACAUCCCCCUCACUCAGCUAUUGGUCAAUGGAAAGUUACGACUCCUUGAAAAGGAUCAUCAAAUUUGAAUGAGGAUCCACCUCCCCUAUCCCAUCUGGUUUGGAUUUGAAGAGUGAAGACUCAAUGGAUAUCAUCGGACGACAUUUUCGUAGAGAGGAACCUAGGGAAGGGAUUGAUGCAGAUAAUACAACAAUACCCAGAAUCAUUGUGAAUGGGCCAGACGAAUGCCCCUUGACUAUCCAUCAAACAAUAUUGGAAAUGGUCCAGGUCUUCUAACUGCUGCCACAGGGGGCCAGAUAGAGAGAUCAGGUUCACCAGAGACCUGCUACUCAUCAAUGCGCAGCACAUCUAUGGAGUCAGUACAAGAAACACAUGAGACUGACAUUGAAAGCGGUAAUCUGAAGCAGGAUCUUGAUCCUUCAGAAACACAAGGAAGAAAUGGUAUAGAGUUUAUGAACAUAUUCUAGAUUAAUCAUUUCUAUUCCAGUAUGGAUGUUAAAUUAUUAGUGUAAACGAAUCAAACGUGAACUAUAUUAGAUUUAUACCCUGGCACCAAGGGGUAUGAAUAAGGACUUCAAUAUCAGACCGUUCCUGUAACUACUUUAAUGACUAUGUGGUUGCCAACUGAAAAUCUUUAAAUAAUGGUACUUCUGUUUCGUGUUCGUCUGUUUGCCCUUUAGAAGUGGAAUAAAGACUGUAGCAAAAGUUUUUAACAUGAUGCUGUAUUGUAGUCUCCUGGAUAAAAAUAGUAACCUUGUGAUUAUAUAGACACCUUAUCAUGCUUACUUGAAAUUAUGAUGGCCAUAGGGCCUGAUGCUAUGUCAAGUACUCUGAAUAGACUUCUCUGUACACUCUAAGACGUGUUUUAGAAAGAACUUCAAAAUAUGUACUUAUGUUUGUAUGUAUGUAUAUAUGUGUGUAUGUAUAUAUUUUCUGUAUAUUUUUGUAUAUUUGGUAGAGACUGGUGUAGUAUGGUGAAAAAUAUUUGUGGAUGUCUGUUGGUACCCUAGGAUGCACCUCUCUGCAGUGGGUGUGCCUUCCAAUUAGAACUUGAUUGAUGUAUCAUGUGACCCUUUCUAAUGUACCUAAUAAGUAUGACAUGUGUCUAUCUUGAUUCAAGUCUGAUGAAGAGCGUGUAGCUCGAAAACGUUCACUUGGUGAAAUAAAAGAUAAAGC